rnacentral:rRNA from 1 species
AACGGAGGGGACAAGUGUUACUCGCCAUGACUGGGCGUAAAGGGCUCGUAGGCGGCCAACUAAGUCAGACGUGAAAUCCCCAGGCUCAACCUGGGAACUGCGUCUGAUACUGGAUGGCUUGAAUCCGGGAGAGGGAUGCAGAAUUCCAGGUGUAGCGGUGAAAUGCGUAGAUAUCUGGAGGAAUACCGGUGGCGAAGGCGGCAUCCUGGACCGGCAUUGACGCUGAGGAGCGAAAGCUAGGGGAGCAAACGGG